UUGAAAAGCAGAAGGGCCUAACAAUCCAUGGAGCUUAACAUGUGAACUUUAAAAAUGAAUAGGCUCUUCCCUGGGGGAGCAGUGAAGAAACUGAGUCCCUGCCCAUAAAGAGAGAGCACAACAGCCCCUCAGAGAUACAGCAUAGAAGCAGUAGUUUGAAAAACGCCCGGGCUAUACUGGAGGGACAUUUGUUUCCUAAUCUCGGAGCAUGUGCUGGAGGAGCAGGGAACUUCGGAAGACUUUGGAAGACUUCGGGAACAAAGUAGUUGGUGGGCGCUAUUCCCCGCCCCCCCCCCCGCCCGCCCGCCUACCUCCCAGCCUGAACACACAGACGCCUGCAGGAAGCAGCUCAGUGCCACCACACCACCUAGCUUGCUAACUGUGUGCCCGUCCCCAUUCUGUGCUGUGGACGUGCUCCCUCCAAACCAGCACCUGGUGGGAGCUCUCCCCUCACACAGCAAACCAGCAAGGACCUUGUGGCACCAUGAGCCCCACCCCCAUGGUCUCCUGGGCACUCACCUCUCCAACCCUGGAGUUUUCUAAAGCGGCUCCAAGUCCCCUCCACAACAGACCCGUGCAGACUUUAACACCGUGUACCCUCAUGUUCUCCAGUAGUCCUGCUCCCUCCAAUACACCAUUGGGUGGGGCCCAUCCAAAGUGGUGUCACAAGUCUGGCAGCAUGCAAGCAGCCCUGACGGGGGCCAACACAGCUUCAAAGUGACUCCUGCCCUGUGGAAAGGGGAAGACAACCACACAUACCAGUCCGACUGAGGCCUCAGUGGCGGGCUGGAGCCAGACAUCUGGUCUGAUUGCAGGCCCCUCACACCAAAGAAGAUUUCUCAAGGGGACAACACAGGAAAAGUGCCCUGAAGGACCCCGAAGUCCAGUGCAACUGCAUCUCUGGCAAAUGCCUGGUGUGACUAAACUCAAGCCCAAGGUGGCCCCAGACGGGCCCAUUAACACAGGGACAGAAGUGCCCCCAACAGGCAAAGAAAGCCAUUGCAAAUGACAGUACCGAAGGCAAAUGCGUCUCAGCCACAAUAGCAGGGUACACAUAACACACAUAGGAGACACCCUUGAAGUGCCAAGUUCUAAUUAAUAGGAGACAUUGCUCUUCAGGACACUACAGGCCUCUUCUUCAUAAGGCUGCUAGUUUCAAGAUCAGGAAACCUAGCCGACUUUGCUAGCAGAAACACAGAGAGUUAGACAAAAUGAGACAACGGAAUAUGUCUCAAAUGAAAGAACAGGACAAAAUCACAGCAAACAUCUAAAUGAAACAGAUGACCAAUAUGCCUGAUAAAGAAUUUAAAGCAAUGGUCAUGAAGAUGUGCACUGGGCUCGACAGAAGAGUAGAGGACUUCAGUGAGACCCUCAACAAAACAGGAAACAAAAAAGAACCAGAGAUGAAAAAAAUAAGUGAAAUUAAAAAUCGACUACAUGGAGGAAAUAGACUGGAGGAAGCAGAAGAAUCAAUGAGCGACCUGGAGGACAGAGCAAUGGAGAGCAAUCCGGCUGAACAGGAGAGAGACAAAUAAUAGUAAUAAAUGAAAAUAGACUUAGGGAACCCGGUGACACCGUCAAGCAUAAUAUUCCCAUUAUAGGGUUCCCAGAAACAAACUUCAUAGGUACAAAAAAGAGGUUGGUGUUUGCCAGAGGCUGGGGUGGGGAGGAGGUAUGGGGGUGGAGGAGCAGUGAAGGUGAAAGCCACUGCUAAGUGUUUUGGUUUUUUUUCACUGUUGCCUUUAUGGGGAGAAUUGGUUGAUGGACCCAAUACCCAUCUACUAGCCCCUUCUCUCCACUACAUUGUAGCUAGUGAUGACCAUGCGAUACAUUUCUGAGUCAUAGAUAUAAGUAAGAGUUUACUAUUUUAGGGGUUUGCUUUCCUGAUAAGAGAGAAGCUGAGCUGGCACCUCACUCUAAUUUUAUGCCUUUCGCUCCUUCCUGCUUUUCCCUGUUUUCUAAUGGAGAGGUGAUACCCAAAGAAACAGCAUCACUCUAGAAUCAUGAGGAAAUAAAUAUGAGUACAAAGACCUCCACACUGAAGAUUGUCGAGUACAACAUCAAAAAAGAGCCUGUGUCCCCUAUAGCAUCUUUGGGAAGCUGAACUAAUAUCCCACCUCUGGACUUACUGUUCUGUAUGAAAAAUGGAUUCCCAUUUGCUUGAACUUUUUUGUUUUUGUUUUUGCUAUUUUCAGCUGCGUUCAUUCCUAAUCAAUUUACAAUUUUAAAUCUUUCAGUUAUCUGCCAUUGAGUACCUGUGUGCCAGGCACUGUGCUAAGUGUUUGAUAUAUAUCAAUUAAUUUCAGCCACAUGACAGCCAUGAGGAAAGUGACACUUUGCUACAGAUAACAUGCAUAUGGGCGGAUGGAUCCCUGUGUGACUGGAAUGGAUUUAUCAAAUGAAGGAACCAGAGCACCAAAGUGUUAAGCGACUUUGCGUAGCUAAUGGUCCUGGAGCCUGGGAAAAGCAGAUCGCAGAGGUCAGCCUCCCUGGAUACAAAGCAGAACUGGGUACAAGAACAGACAUGACCGGAGCAGGCACAGAGGGCAUGCAAUUCAAGUGGUUUCCAAAAGUGGGGGUGGAUUCGCACUGGACAGCGCAUGCUAUUUCUCCUGUGAGUCCCUUACCCUCACUGUUCUCAUCCUGUGGGACAGCAAAAGGGAGGCGUGCAGCAAUGAUGUCAGAGCCCCUUGGAGCUUAAAUCAAUGACACUUGUCUCAGUGAUAAUACUGCGUCCUGUCAAACAAACCAAGCCACAUAGAAAGUGACUUAUUUUCCAUAGCUUCUUUUUGGAAAAAAACGUACAUUGCCUCUUCACCAUGUACCUUAGCAACAGCCACAGAGAAUACUUUCGGACUAUGGUAGUACAAAAGAAUUCCCUAAUUAAGAAAUGUAUUUAUUC